ensembl:lncRNA
CUCCUGCAAGGAUUCUGACCGGACCGAUCCGACUUCGGCUGCCGCUUUCCAGUGCGCAAUUCAUUCCAUUCGUUUCGAGAUCCAUGAGAUAUCAAGAUGAUAAAUGGAACUAGGAUUGCUCCUGAAGUACUGUCAUUAGGGAGUUUUUAAUUAGCAGGGGACGCAUGUAUAGUGAGACGCAGCAGUUAUUGCCGAAACCGCAGCGCUCAGCAGCAAAGGCCUGAUGGCCUCGUGACCAGCGGCCCGCCUGCUGAGGCGCCGGCCGAUCAGCCUACUCUAAUAAGCUUAUGACAUUGAUGGGCUUUUCUUCCCCCCCCCACCCCCCCGUAUCGUUGCAUUUCAAGAACUCAGCCUUGGACCGAGAGGAAGAAACCUUCACCUUUUCCAUUUUUCUAAUUUCUCAUCUCUCCGCUUCCACCACAUCUUGCUAGGCUGCGUUUGUCAUCUCCUCCUCAGAUUCACACGCAGCUCCUCAAUUUGAAGCUUCGUGUCACUCAAACAUCCUGAGCUCCAUCUCCCUGCCCCUUGGCCCACUGAUCCAGCUAUCAAUCUCCAUCCGUAAUCCCCUACAUGAAUCUCCAAUCCAAU